UAACUUUUUGAAUUCCUAGCUCUGCCACUAGACCGUGUGAUGCCAAAAUUGUGAAAUUUGGUUUGAGGUUUUAGCCCAAGUACAUAAUAUCAUUAACGAUUGUGCCUCAUUUAGAAGCUGUGUAAAACAUAAUGUGUAUUGUGAUCGUCAUAGUGAGCAGCAAACUACAAUUACAGAUUUUGGGAGGCCAAACAAUAAACAUAGAUUGUGCUGAAAGUUGUUAAGUAAAACGGUGCACUUAAAGUGUUCAAUGAAUUGCCUGAAUGAUUUUUGUCAAGUCUGAGUAGCAAUCCAAUACCUAAUGGAAAUGUAAGCCGUCCCUUAAGACAACUGCUGUGCAAGGGAAGGGUAAAUCCAAGAAAGAUGUUGUCACGUGGAGUUGGAGUCUGAUUGCGACUCAUCUAAUCCUGAAACAUUUGUGCCCCAGUUGAACUAGCUGAAUGGGAGGAUGAUUUUGUGAGUGAGGAGGCCUGGAAGCUGAUAUCGAUAUUCCUUGAAAAGAAGCUUCAUAUUGAUGCUACAAACAAAACUUGCCCCAGAGAUAAUGGUAGAGAUUGAGAAAAGAGGUUGUGUGUCCUUUGCUCAAGGACUUAAGGGCGAGGCAAACCUUGCUCUAAUUAGACAUUAGUAUUCAUAUUGGGAUCAUACCCAAGGUGACAUUGUCUGGCUUAGGAGUACAAAAGUGGAUAUCUAAACAAGUACUAUCAUGUUCCCCUCAGACUUAUGUCUAACUAUUGGCAAAGAGAGCAAUGUUUGGAUUUGCCAUGUAUGCUAGAGGUGCUCUGUGAUGACCCAAGCAUGGUGUAUUGGGUUAAGAAUCGGUCCACUGACCAUGCAGCCUUGCCAAAGUCAUUCAUGAGCUAAAUUGUGUAGGUGAGAGUCAAAGAAUACACUCUUAAACUUCAGUGAUCUAGACUGUAGCAUGGUAUUGAGGUAGUUAGAGAUUUGUUGUAGAAUAUUAUUUGGUGCAUGGACUAUAGUUAGAGAUGAAUCAAAAAAAGAAGUGACUAAGCUAUUGAAGGUUAUAUGGGGUUGGAUCACUGCCAUAUGUAGCGUUAAAUAAGAAGGAUAUGAACCUCCAUAGCUAGUUUCAGAUGAAUGUGAUUUCAAGGAACAAGAUGGAAGUUACACUAUCUUCAUGAUACAGUCUCACUCUCAAACUAUUCCUUAAGGUAUGCUCAUUCUAAGCUAAUGAAGCGUUGGUUUUUAACGGUCAUCACUGUUACUGCAUGUCACCUGACUGUAGUAUUAGAGUUGCUAUUUUUUACUAGAUGUCACUUGAGUGUAAUGCUAGAGUUGCCUCCAUCAGACUUGGACAUCAGGGAGGUACUUGGCCAGCUAUCUGUUAACCUGCUUGCUUAGAUAAAAAUUAGUAGUUCUGAAUGAAUAACAGUAAGAGUUGGUUGAUUAAUGGAUGGAUUGACCUGCUUGCUUAUCAGAGAAAUGAUUAAAAGUUUGCUAUUAUUCCAGAAAUCAUAGAGGGGAGCAUUUUAAUGUGCUUUUGUUGAGGAUCAAACCAGGUUACUCUGUAGAGUUGUCACACAACUGCCCAUCCAGAAAAGCAACUCGCUCGGUAGUGUUGUCACACAAGAUAAGGCAAUAACUGAAGUUAUCUUUUCAUUUUCCUUUAGCCUGAAGUAGUAUGAUUAGUUCAAGUAAAAUUUAAGAAACAUACUCUAUUAGGGGUAAAUGCAAUGUGAGCCACAAAUCAAAGAAAUUAGUACUAUCAGAUAAUGUAGAUUCCACUCUUUUUUGGUACUGUUUUCAUAAAAACGUGUCAGGGGAGAUAAUAGCAAAAAGGGUUUACAACAUGUUUUGCAUAACUCUGCAUUAUUGUCUUGUUACUCUCUACAAUUUUGCUUACAAACAAACUCAAUUAAACAUGAUCAUAACUUAGCAUAUUUCUUGAGAUUCACAGCAGCAUCUUUAGCAUUUUCAGGUACAGACAUGUUGACCUUAAGAGUAACUCUUGAUGAUGCUAACAAAGUCUUGUUUUCCUCAUUAGAUGGAUCAAUCUUCCAAAGACAAACUUCCCAAACAUGAAUACUUUUGCCAAUAUUGAUUGGUACAGCCUCAGCAAACACAAGGUCCC
rnacentral:lncRNA from 1 species